CUGAAUCAGGGCAACAGCUUUCUGCACAGAUCCCUUGAUAUUCCUGUAGCAAGCAAAGUAUUCUGACUUUGGUAAUAGCACAGAAAGCAGGAUAAGAGAGGCUUUUCUAUUACUGCUGUUUUUUGUUUUUUUUUUUUUUUUUUUUUUUUUUUUUUUUUUUUUUUUUUUUUUUUUUUUCUUUUAGAAAUGUAGAGCUAUAAAUGUAGGUGUUUUCCUCACACUGGGGGAGAAUAUAGAGUUGUCCUUUACAUGCAGGUUUCCUGAACUUUAAACUGUCCUCACAUCUAAAAAUUAGGAGCAUGUGGUAAAAGAAAUACCUUCACAGUGAACAUGAAAAUCAAUUGUACCCCCUUGUGAUGAACACACCAUGUGUUAACUCACUGAAAGCGAUUUACCAUGGCAUUGGGUGGUGGAUUUAUCACAGAACCUGCUAUGAAGUGGUCUCUGGGGGCAACAGAACUAAAGUGCAGGCUGAAGAUCACCUCGUUGAGGACUCAUGUUGAGGAAUCUUCACAAAAAGGCUGGUGUCCUGACCCUCUGAGAUUUCCACUCAGCUUCCACCUUAAAGACUGGAGUAAUGCUCUCCUCAAGAGUUC
rnacentral:lncRNA from 1 species